rnacentral:lncRNA from 1 species
GCCAUAAUCUUUUAUAUAAAUAUGUUAAAAAGAAAGUAUUUAUAUGUACAAUUGAAAGUUCCAAUUUUUCUUUUACCAGAAGAUGAAAGAUAGGUACUACAUAUACUAGAAAAGUAGAAAAUUAAUCAACUUUCCUCUAGUAGCACCUUUCUUCGAGGCAAGCUCAGAGCUUUGUGUAGUCUAUUUUAGUUGGCAAUAUAUGGACGCCAUUGAUCAUCAAAAAAUAUAUGGACGCCAAUGGCUGUUGGUGCCAAAGAACACCAAGCAUUGGCAUCUGUUGCUAUUGCGGUUGCUAGGCUAAAUAAUAAUUGGGGACUCAAUAUAAUUCAGAAGCUUUCAUAAUGAUAGAAUAGAGUAG